GGUUGUUUAGCUCAGCUGGUUAGAGCGCUCGCCUCACAUGCGAGAGGUCAACGGUUCGAGUCCGUUAACGACCACCA
rnacentral:tRNA from 1 species